ACUUGAAUAGCUUAUAUUUAGAGCAUGAUGUUGAAGAUAUCAAGGAAAUUUUAAAUUUUCAAGUA
rnacentral:tRNA from 1 species